rnacentral:rRNA from 1 species
GACGAACGCUGGCGGCGUGCCUAAUACAUGCAAGUCGAGCGAAUCUUUUGGAGCUUGCUCCGAAAGAUUAGCGGCGGACGGGUGAGUAACACGUGGGCAACCUGCCCUGCAGAUGGGGAUAACUCCGGGAAACCGGGGCUAAUACCGAAUAAUCAAUACUUCCGCAUGGAAGUAUUCUGAAAGACGGUUUCGGCUGUCACUGCAGGAUGGGCCCGCGGCGCAUUAGCUUGUUGGUGGGGUAAUGGCCUACCAAGGCGACGAUGCGUAGCCGACCUGAGAGGGUGAACGGCCACACUGGGACUGAGACACGGCCCAGACUCCUACGGGAGGCAGCAGUAGGGAAUCUUCCACAAUGGACGAAAGUCUGAUGGAGCAACGCCGCGUGAGCGAAGAAGGUCUUCGGAUCGUAAAGCUCUGUUGUAAGGGAAGAACAAGUAUCAUUUAACUGAUGGUACCUUGACGGUACCUUACGAGAAAGCCACGGCUAACUACGUGCCAGCAGCCGCAGUAAAAC